rnacentral:lncRNA from 10 species
AAAUUAUGAGGUCCAAUUCUGGGUAGGGCUUUCAAAAUAGAACCCUGACCAGUGCUGAAUCGACUUGAAGAAUGAUGAAGGGUUGGCUUCUGUCUCUCGGCAGCUGUGAAUUUGGUCUGCCCUUUGCAAAGUAAGAGGAAAUUUAAUGAACCUAAAUAAGACAUGAUCCUCUGUGGCUAUAAAAGUUACACUUUGAAAAAGCUCAGCUGGUCAAGAGCCACUUGAAAAUGAUGUUACCGCGGGGGAACUCUGUCAAAAGUCCACUCCUCUUGAUUCAUCAACUGGGGCAUUUUUAAAAGGAUCGGGGCAAACAACCGCCUAAUGCACAUUCUAUGGCCUCUAAUUGUGCAAGCAGUACAUUUUAGAAACCCUUUGUGCUGAGGAGUGUUCAUUUGUGGAGCAUUUCGUUUGCUUAUACGGUAGGCAACAGUGCUUAAAUAGUGUAAUUAUUAUGUGUUUCUAGUUUGCUUCGAAUUUUGAUUCAAUCAGAAUUCCUAAACCUGACAGCCUAUAAUCAAACAAAGGGAGUGCUCUGGAAG